rnacentral:lncRNA from 1 species
CGGUUGUGGCGCAGUUGCAAUAUUGGGCCGUGCCGGAUACGGGUGCUGCGGGAGGCCGAUUGCAAGUGUCGACAAGCAAUCGGAACGCGAUACAGGUGAGUUGUGUUUACCGAAGUGACUAGGUCGCCUGUAUGUCUAAGAAUGAGUAUUAUUAUUGAUGUAUGCAAUGGUAGCUAAUGAUAGAAUGUAUAAAUGCAUG